GGGGCUGUAGCUCAGCGGCAGAGCGCGACAACGAUCGGCAGGCCGUUACGCGAACGGAUGAUCACAGUCGAGGGCGUGGGUUCAAUCCCCAUCAGUCCCA
rnacentral:tRNA from 1 species